rnacentral:lncRNA from 10 species
GAAAAACUAACUAAAUAAGUGGCACUAUCUACUGUGGGGGAAGUCUUAUUUUUCUGGCCUAGAUUUAGCCUUAUGUCUUUCUUCUGUAUACCCUUCAUUCCCAAGCUGUGCAGCAAAACCAAUUUCCCAGUGUAAAAAUGUUCAAGACCAAUUGAUUACCUCGUUAAGGUACAUCCCAAAGAAAGCCAAAGCUUAGCCUUGCAUCCUGCCUUGCAACUAGACAAAAUAUUUAACAUAGUGGAGGCUCAGUUUUCUCAUUCAUAAUAUGGGGAUAAUAACUGCUCUCGCAGGGUUGGUAUGAGAAAUAAAUGAUGUAAUGAGCUCAGGUAUGUGAGAUCACUUGGCUCAGUACCUGGUACAUGGGGAUCUCAGUACAUUUUUUGUUGAAUCUGUUACUUUGGGCAACAUAAAGAAAUACUAUCAACUAAGAACAGAAGUCACAGAUUGUAAACUCUCAUCAUCUGGGAUGGGUAAGGUUCUCAAUACAUUUUGGAGAACAGGGAGUGAAAAGUUGGUUAUUCUAAUGGAGCUAGAACUUAAGGCUUCCAUUCUAUCAGAAAUCCUAGGCUGGGUGCGGUGGCUCACACCCACGCCCGUAAUCCCAGCACUUUGGGAGGCCCAGGCAGAUGGAUCACCUGAGGUCAGGAGUUCGAGACUAGCUUGACCAACAUGGUGAAACCCCAUCUCUACUAAAACUACAAAAAUUAGCCAGGCGUGGUGGUGCGUGCCUGUAAUCCCAGCUACUUGGGGGGCUGAGACAAGGGAAUCACUUGAACCUGGGAGGCGGAGGUUGCAGUGAACUGAGAUCGAGCCACUGCACUCCAGCCUGGGUGACAGAGUGAGACUCAGACUCGCACACACACACACACACACAAAAGAAAGAAAGGAAAGGAAAGGAAAGGAAAAAGAAAGGAAGGAAGGAAGGGAGGGAAAGAGAGAGAGAGGGAGGGAGGGAGGGAACAAAAGAAAAAGAAAGGAAGGAAGGAAGGAAGAAAGAAAUCCUAGACCUACAUAGGGCACUACCUUCUAGCCCUUAUUGAAGCAGGAAAAAAAUUUCUGGUAUAGGAUUGAUCCCUAUCUCUGACCCUCAUUUGUUCUCCAGUUAUUUCACUUUCACACACAUUUAAUUCCCAAAAGAAUUAUCUGUAAAUCAUCAAAUUAUGGGUCCAAAAAUCAGUGGUAUGUAUUCCCCCAACUAAGUUUAAAGGGGUUUCAAGUGGAUAUUGUGUGUAAAGGCAGUGGGAGGGGGAGUCUUUUCUGCUCCCUGAGCUUUGUGGAGUUUGCUUGCGCAGAAAUAAUGCCUAUACUUCCGCCUAUUUCUGUUCUUCACCUGCCCAGACUAGCUCCAAACAUCAAAUCUGAUAAACACAACACUCUGGCAACAUAAUGUCCAUUAAGUGAGUGCAGAAAAGACCAUCUGGUUUCUGCUUACAUGCAUCUUUUUUAUGUUGUCUGGAUCAUCUCAUUCUCCCUUUCCUGUUUCUAGCUACAGGUGGUGAUGGGAGAAGUAAGAAUUACACUCUCACCUUAACAGAGUGAUGGGCUGUGAAUGAAUGAUGCAAAAAUCAUUCACUGUCCAAAAUCACAUGGUAUAAUUUGCAUGAAGGUACUAAUGGCACAAUUCACUUCCUCCCUGCUCUAAUCGUUUCACUCUGCCAUUAUAACACUCCCAUACUUGUGGUACUUUACAGGCUGUCCUGCCACUGAAGGACUCAAACUAGCACUAAGCAAGCUAAAUCAGGGCUUACUCUUACUCCUCACCCUAUAUUCUCCCCAUACAUUGAAAUAUUUCACCCAUGCAACUAGAAGCAAAGGCAGUACUUAGGUAAAAUAAUAGAUUAUCUGGUUCCCUUUUUUUUUUUUUUUUUUUUUUUUUGAGACGCAGGUUUGCUCGUUGCCCAGGCUGGAGUGCAGUGGUGCAAUCUCGGCUCACUGCAACCUCCAUCUCCCAGGUUCAUGUGAUUCUCCUGCCUCAGCCUCCCAAGUAGCUGGGAUUACAGGCAUACACCACCAAGCCUGGCUAAUUUUGUAUCCAUUUUUAGUAGAGACAGGGUUUCAUCAUGUUAGUUAGGCUGCUCUCGAACUCCUGACCUCAAGUGAUCCGCCUGCCUCGGCCUCCCAAAGUGCUGGGAUUACAGGCGUGAGCCACCGUGCCCGGCCAUCUGGUUCCUUUAAAAAGAUUUUUAUAGGGUUCUACUCUAUUUGUCUUAUUUACAUUUUAAUAAUAAAAAGUCCUUAUCAAGUGUUUCUGUCCAGGUCUUGAUCCUCAGAACCCCGGGGAGAGGUGGGUUAUGGAGGCUAGUUGGGCAUGACUGUGAUGUGCUAAACUGAACACCAUUUCCUCUGAAGAGUUAAUUAUGAUCCUGCCCAAAAUCCGAUUCCUAACUGCACUGGGGAAAAAUUAGAUACACGUACAAUUAGAUUGCUGAAGUAAAUGCCUAUAAUAAAAAUAAUUCUUUCAGCUUUGUUCUGUAUUACACACAGAAAAUGAAUUAUUUUACUUUACCUUGGCAUAUACCAUAAUCUAGGCCAAAUCCCUUAAGUAUUUUAUAUUGUUUAGUUCAAACUGAAAAAAAAAAGUGGACUCUGAAGACAGAUGAUCUUAGCAUCAUUCUGAACUUCUUUUAAGCAUCCAUUUGGAUAGAUACGGAAAUGGUCUAAGAACUAGUGUCAUUGUAGUAAAAAAAAGAUAAAAGCAAA